rnacentral:rRNA from 1 species
CGUAGGUGAACCUGCGGAAGGAUCAUUACCGAGUGUAGGGUUCCUAGCGAGCCCAACCUCCCACCCGUGUUUACUGUACCUUAGUUGCUUCGGCGGGCCCGCCAUUCAUGGCCGCCGGGGGCUCUCAGCCCCGGGCCCGCGCCCGCCGGAGACACCACGAACUCUGUCUGAUCUAGUGAAGUCUGAGUUGAUUGUAUCGCAAUCAGUUAAAACUUUCAACAAUGGAUCUCUUGGUUCCGGCAUCGAUGAAGAACGCAGCGAAAUGCGAUAACUAGUGUGAAUUGCAGAAUUCCGUGAAUCAUCGAGUCUUUGAACGCACAUUGCGCCCCCUGGUAUUCCGGGGGGCAUGCCUGUCCGAGCGUCAUUGCUGCCCAUCAAGCACGGCUUGUGUGUUGGGUCGUCGUCCCCUCUCCGGGGGGGACGGGCCCCAAAGGCAGCGGCGGCACCGCGUCCGAUCCUCGAGCGUAUGGGGCUUUGUCACCCGCUCUGUAGGCCCGGCCGGCGCUUGCCGAACGCAAAUCAAUCUUUUUCCAGGUUGACCUCGGAUCAGGUAGGGAUACCCGCUGAACUUAAGCAUAUCA